UACGUAGGGUCCGAGCGUUGUCCGGAAUUAUUGGGCGUAAAGAGCUCGUAGGUGGUGUGUCGCGUCGGAUGUGAAAGCCCGGGGCUUAACCCCGGGUCUGCAUUCGGUACGGGCAUGCUGGAGUUCGGUAGGGGAGACUGGAAUUCCUGGUGUAGCGGUGAAAUGCGCAGAUAUCAGGAGGAACACCGGUGGCGAAGGCAGGUCUCUGGGCAUUAACUGACGCUGAGGAGCGAAAGCAUGGGGAGCGAACAGG
rnacentral:rRNA from 1 species